GGGGAUUUAGCUCAGUGGUAGAGCGCUUGCUUAGCAAGAGCAAGGCCCUAGCAAGGCCCUGGGUUCGGUCCCCAGCUCCA
rnacentral:tRNA from 1 species